rnacentral:rRNA from 1 species
GAUUAAGUUAUUAAGGGCGCACGGUGGAUGCCUUGGCACUAGAAGCCGAUGAAGGACGUUACUAACGACGAUAUGCUUUGGGGAGCUGUAAGUAAGCUUUGAUCCAGAGAUUUCCGAAUGGGGAAACCCAGCAUGAGUUAUGUCAUGUUAUCGAUAUGUGAAUACAUAGCAUAUCAGAAGGCACACCCGGAGAACUGAAACAUCUUAGUACCCGGAGGAAGAGAAAGAAAAUUCGAUUCCCUUAGUAGCGGCGAGCGAAACGGGAAGAGCCCAAACCAACAAGCUUGCUUGUUGGGGUUGUAGGACACUCUAUACGGAGUUACAAAGGACGACAUUAGACGAAUCAUCUGGAAAGAUGAAUCAAAGAAGGUAAUAAUCCUGUAGUCGAAAAUGUUGUCUCUCUUGAGUGGAUCCUGAGUACGACGGAGCACGUGAAAUUCCGUCGGAAUCUGGGAGGACCAUCUCCUAAGGCUAAAUACUCUCUAGUGACCGAUAGUGAACCAGUAC